UACGUAGGGUGCAAGCGUUAAUCGGAAUUACUGGGCGUAAAGCGUGCGCAGGCGGUUUUGCAAGACAGGUGUGAAAUCCCCGGGCUUAACCUGGGAACUGCAUUUGUGACUGCAUAGCUAGAGUACGGUAGAGGGGGAUGGAAUUCCGCGUGUAGCAGUGAAAUGCGUAGAGAUCAUGAGGAAGACCAGUGGCGAAGGCGGGUCUCUGGACAGUUCCUGACGCUGAGGCACGAAGGCCAGGGGAGCAAACGGG
rnacentral:rRNA from 1 species